rnacentral:lncRNA from 1 species
UUGUGAAAUCCUGACUUUGACAUAAAAGGUUUUUAUAAAUAUUUCCCUGUGUGGAAAUUUAGUUUUUGGCCUCCUUCCUCUCUCUCUUUUUCUCCUUCCCUCCAUGUUUUUUUUCUCUCCCUCUCCUUCCUUCUCUCUCUUCUUCUCUCCCUCUGUCUCCCCCUUCCUCCCUUUUUCUACUCCUCCCUCUCUUCUCCCCCUUCCUCUUUCUCCCUUUUGCUCUCCCUCUCUCCCCUCCCUUUCUUUCUUCUUUCUCCCUCCCACCUUCUUUCUUUUUCUCUGUAAAUAACAGAAUCUCCAGGAAGUUUCAUAUCUUUUGGCCCAUUAGAAGAAUUCUAGGACCCACUUAUCCUUACUGCCUUGCUGUUGUUUAACUUGCAAAAAAGAAGAUAAAAUGAUCUUGGACUUGGAGAACUUUAGAGCUCAAAGUGGCCUUAGAUACCAUAUUAGUCUAAAAGUUAAAGAUGUUUACAGGUAGCUCUAAGGGCAUGAGGCCCCUAUCAAAACUAAACCAUAUAUUUAAAGUCAUUUCUUUAUCCAGCAAAAAAAAAAAAAAAAUUAUUCUAUACUAUUUGUGCUAUCGCCUUACCGAAAUAUUGAAUGUUAGACCCAGAAGGAACCCUUUAGACAUGGUCUACCCCUUAAUCUAUUUACAGAUGAGGAAAUAAGAGCUCCAAGAGAUGGGCUAACUGUCCACCGAGAUCAUAGAGUUGGUGGCAGAGCUUGAGAGUAGGACAUGGCUUUCUAGCUCCUGGUCUGCAGAUCUUACAUUGGAACGGAGUAAGCCAUCUGUGAUUUGGUCUCAGUCAAAUCUAGCACAUUAUCAGGAUGUUAGGCGGGUCUUUUUUUUUAACCUUAGCUUUAAUUAUACAUCUUUUUUUAAAAAUAGCUUCAAAUGAUUUCUAUGGAUUCAUAAAUAUUUUUUCAUCAUUGAAUCUUAACUUUGCCUCUGAGAUAACUUGACAUUGUUCCUUUAUUGUUCAUGUGGAAAACACAAUUGAAACUUUAUAGAAGAAAAUUUUUAAGGUAAGAAGCAGAGAUUGAUACAAAUGCAUUUCUUAAAAAGAUCAAGUAGAAUCUGAC